rnacentral:rRNA from 1 species
GAACGCUAGCUACAGGCUUAACACAUGCAAGUCGAGGGGCAUCAGGAAGAAAGCUUGCUUUCUUUGCUGGCGACCGGCGCACGGGUGAGUAACACGUAUCCAACCUGCCCUUUACUCGGGGAUAGCCUUUCGAAAGAAAGAUUAAUACCCGAUAGCAUAAUGAUUCCGCAUGGUUUCAUUAUUAAAGGAUUCCGGUAAAGGAUGGGGAUGCGUUCCAUUAGGUUGUUGGUGAGGUAACGGCCCACCAAGCCUUCGAUGGAUAGGGGUUCUGAGAGGAAGGUCCCCUACAUUGGAACUGAGACACGGUCCAAACUCCUACGGGAGGCAGCAGUGAGGAAUAUUGGUCAAUGGGCGCUAGCCUGAACCAGCCAAGUAGCGUGAAGGAUGAAGGCUCUAUGGGUCGUAAACUUCUUUUAUAUAAGAAUAAAGUGCAGUAUGUAUACUGUUUUGUAUGUAUUAUAUGAAUAAGGAUCGGCUAACUCCGUGCCAGCAGCCGCGGUAAUACGGAGGAUCCGAGCGUUAUCCGGAUUUAUUGGGUUUAAAGGGAGCGUAGGUGGACUGGUAAGUCAGUUGUGAAAGUUUGCGGCUCAACCGUAAAAUUGCAGUUGAUACUGUCAGUCUUGAGUACAGUAGAGGUGGGCGGAAUUCGUGGUGUAGCGGUGAAAUGCUUAGAUAUCACGAAGAACUCCGAUUGCGAAGGCAGCUCACUGGACUGCAACUGACACUGAUGCUCGAAAGUGUGGGUAUCAAACAGGAUUAGAUACCCUGGUAGUCCACACAGUAAACGAUGAAUACUCGCUGUUUGCGAUAUACAGUAAGCGGCCAAGCGAAAGCAUUAAGUAUUCCACCUGGGGAGUACGCCGGCAACGGUGAAACUCAAAGGAAUUGACGGGGGCCCGCACAAGCGGAGGAACAUGUGGUUUAAUUCGAUGAUACGCGAGGAACCUUACCCGGGCUUAAAUUGCAGUGGAAUGAUGUGGAACCAUGUCAGUGAGCAAUCACCGCUGUGAAGGUGCUGCAUGGUUGUCGUCAGCUCGUGCCGUGAGGUGUCGGCUUAAGUGCCAUAACGAGCGCAACCCUUAUCUUUAGUUACUAACAGGUUAUGCUGAGGACUCUAGAGAGACUGCCGUCGUAAGAUGUGAGGAAGGUGGGGAUGACGUCAAAUCAGCACGGCCCUUACGUCCGGGGCUACACACGUGUUACAAUGGGGGGUACAGAAGGCAGCUAGCGGGUGACCGUAUGCUAAUCCCAAAAUCCUCUCUCAGUUCGGAUCGAAGUCUGCAACCCGACUUCGUGAAGCUGGAUUCGCUAGUAAUCGCGCAUCAGCCACGGCGCGGUGAAUACGUUCCCGGGCCUUGUACACACCGCCCGUCAAGCCAUGGGAGCCGGGGGUACCUGAAGUACGUAACCGCAAGGAUCGUCCUAGGGUAAAACCGGUGA